AACGAACGCUGGCGGCAUGCCUAACACAUGCAAGUCGAACGAGACCUUCGGGUCUAGUUGCGCACGGGUGCGUAACGCGUGGGAACCUGCCCUUAGGUUCGGAAUAACUCCCCGAAAGGGGUGCUAAUACCGGAUAAGGUCUUCGGACCAAAGAUUUAUCGCCUUUGGAUGGGCCCGCGUUGGAUUAGCUAGUUGGUAGGGUAAAAGCCUACCAAGGAGACGAUCCAUAGCUGGUCUGAGAGGAGGAUAAGCCACACUGGGACUAAGGCACGGACCAGAAUCCUACGGGAGGGAGCAGUGGGGAAUAUUGGACGAGGGGCGAAAGCGUGAUAAAGCAAUGCCGCGUGAGUGAUGAAGGCCUUAGGGUUGUAAAGCUCUUUUAGCCGGGAUGAUAAUGACAGUACCGGGAGAAUAAGCACCGGCUAACUCCGUG
rnacentral:rRNA from 1 species